GACAAACGCUGGCGGCAUGCCUAACACAUGCAAGUCGAACGGACAGAACAGGGAAGCUCUUCGGAGUGGAACUGGAAAGUUAGUGGCGGAUGGGUGAGUAACGCGUGGACAACCUACCUUGUAAAGGGGAAUAACCUCGAGAAAUCGAAGCUAAUACCCCACAAUAACCUUGAUUCGCAUGAAGCAAGGAGGAAAGGCGGCCUUAGUGCUGUCGAUACAAGAUGGGUCCGCGUCUGAUUAGCUAGUUGGUGAGGUAAAGGCUCACCAAGGCGACGAUCAGUAGCCGGCCUGAGAGGGUGAACGGCCACAUUGGGACUGAGACACGGCCCAAACUCCUACGGGAGGCAGCAGUGGGGAAUCUUCCGCAAUGGGCGAAAGCCUGACGGAGCAAUGCCGCGUGAGUGAAGAAGGCCUUCGGGUUGUAAAACUCUGUCCUAGACGAAGAGAGAGUGUUGUAGUAACUGACAAUACUAGGACGGUAGACUAGGAGAGCCCC
rnacentral:rRNA from 1 species